ACUCGAGUGGCGAACGGGUGAGUAACACGUGGGUGAUCUGCCCUGCACUUCGGGAUAAGCUUGGGAAACUGGGUCUAAUACCGGAUAGGAGCCAUCUUUAGUGUAGUGGUUGGAAAGUUUUUCGGUGUAGGAUGAGCUCGCGGCCUAUCAGCUUGUUGGUGGGGUAAUGGCCUACCAAGGCGGCGACGGGUAGCCGGCCUGAGAGGGUGUACGGCCACAUUGGGACUGAGAUACGGCCCAG
rnacentral:rRNA from 1 species